UACGUAGGGGGGCAAGCGUUGUCCGGAUUCAUUGGGCGUAAAGAGCGUGUAGGCGGCCAGGUAGGUCGGUUGUGAAAACUGGAGGCUCAACCUUCAGACGUCGACCCAAACCCCCCUGGCUAGAGUCCGGAAGAGGAGAGUGGAAUUCCUGGUGUAGCGGUGAAAUGCGCAGAUAUCAGGAAGAACACCCGUGGCGAAGGCGGCUCUCUGGGACGGUACUGACGCUGAGACGCGAAAGCGUGGGGAGCGAACAGG
rnacentral:rRNA from 1 species